UACGUAGGUGGCUAGCGUUAUCCGGAAUUACUGGGCGUAAAGGGUGCGUAGGUGGUUUCUUAAGUCAGAGGUGAAAGGCUACGGCUCAACCGUAGUAAGCCUUUGAAACUGGGAAACUUGAGUGCAGGAGAGGAGAGUGGAAUUCCUAGUGUAGCGGCGAAAUGCGUAGAUAUAUGGAGGAACACCGGUGGCGAAAGCGGCUCUCUGGCCUGUAACUGACACUGAGGCUCGAAAGCGUGGGGAGCAUACAGG
rnacentral:rRNA from 1 species